GUCCUUUCGUACUGAUAUGAAUUAAUAAUCUUAGGAUAGAAACCGACCUGGCUCACGCCGGUCUGAACUCAGAUCAUGUAAGGAUUUAAAGGUCGAAUAGACCUAAUUAAUGGGCUCCUGCACCCAAAAUUUUUCUUAAUCCAACAUCGAGGUCGCAAUCUGCUUUGUCGAUAUGAGCUCUCAAAAACAAUUACGCUGUUAUCCCUAAGGUAACUUAAUCUUAUGAUCAUAAAUUAUGGAUCAAAACAACAAACAUAAAUAAAUGAUAUAAUAAUGAAGAGUUUAUUUAUUCUUCAUG